GCAAAUUGACACCGUAACUUCGGGAGAAGGUGUGCCGCUGGCGGUUAGUGACUUCGCGUCACGAAGCUGUCGGUGGUCGCAGUGAAAUGGCGGUUGUGACUGUUUACUAAAAACACAGGACUCUGCGAAGUCGUAAGACGACGUAUAGGGUCUGAUGCCUGCCCGGUGCUGGAAGGUUAAGGGGAUAUGUCAGCGCAAGCGAAGCAUUGAACCGAAGCCCCAGUAAACGGCGGCCGUAACUAUAACGGUCCUAAGGUAGCGAAAUUCCUUGUCGGGUAAGUUCCGACCUGCACGAGGGCAUAACAACAUCCGCACUGUCUCGACCAGGGACUCAGCGAAAUUACAUUGGGGGUGAAGAUGCCCUCUACCCGCGGAAAGACGGAAAGACCCCAUGAACCUUUACUGCAACUUGGCAGUGAUUUUCGGGUUGUUCUGCGUAGGAUAGGUGGGAGGCUUUGAAGCCGGGCUUCCGGGUUCGGCAGAGCCAACGUUGAAAUACCACCCUGAAUAAUCUGGAAAUCUAACCUGCGCCCAUGAUCUGGGCGAGGGACACUGCCUGGUGGGCAGUUUGACUGGGCGGUCGCCUCCUAAAUUGUAACGGAGGCGUGCGACGGUUCCCUCAGGCUGAUUGGAAACCAGCCGUAGAGUGCAAACGCAUAAGGGAGCCUUACUGCGAGACUGACAAGUCGAACAGUUGCGAAAGCAGGUGUUAGUGAUCCGGUGGUACCACAUGGAAGGGCCAUCGCUCAUCGGAUAAAAGGUACUCUGGGGAUAACAGGCUGAUCGCGCCUGAGAGUUCACAUCGGCGGCGCGGUUUGGCACCUCGAUGUCGGCUCAUCGCAUCCUGGGGCUGGAGCAGGUCCCAAGGGUUUGGCUGUUCGCCAAUUAAAGCGGUUCGCGAGCUGGGUUUAAAACGUCGUGAGACAGUUUGGUCCCUAUCUUCCGUGGGCGCAGGACACUUGAGAGGAGCUAUCCAUAGUACGAGAGGACCUGGAUGGACGAACCUCUGGUGCUCCGGUUGUCACGCCAGUGGCAUAGCCGGGUAGCCAUGUUCGGAACAGAUAACCGCUGAAGGCAUAUAAGCGGGAAGCUGGCCUCAAGACUAGGUGUCCCUGACGCAAGUCACUAAAGGCCCCUCGAAGACUACGAGGUUGAUAGGCUCGGUGUGGAAGCGCUGCGAGGCGUGGAGCUAACGAGUACUAAUAGGCCGUGCGACUUGACCUC
rnacentral:rRNA from 1 species